rfam:Spinacia oleracea cultivar SynViroflay scaffold4749.con0006.1, whole genome shotgun sequence.
GGGCAUUUGGUCUAGUGGUAUGAUUCUUGCUUCGGGAGCAAGAGGUCCCGAGUUCGAUUCUCGGAAUGCCCC